UACAGAGGGGGCAAGCGUUAUUCGGAAUUAUUGGGCGUAAAGGGCGCGUAGGCGGCCUUGUAAGUCUUGGGUGAAAUCCCUCAGCUCAACUGAGGAACUGCCUCGGAUACUGCAGGGCUUGAGGCCGGGAGAGGGUAGUGGAAUUCCCAGUGUAGCGGUGAAAUGCGUAGAUAUUGGGAGGAACACCGGUGGCGAAGGCGGCUACCUGGACCGGUUCUGACGCUGAUGCGCGAAAGCGUGGGGAGCAAAC
rnacentral:rRNA from 1 species